GCGUGGAUACCCAAACCAGGGAACGGGGUCGGACUUAGAAUCCGAUGCGGCAGCGCUUUGGAGGUUCAAAUCCUCCUCCACGCACCA
rnacentral:tRNA from 2 species